rnacentral:rRNA from 1 species
AGAGUUUGAUCCUGGCUCAGGAUGAACGCUAGCUACAGGCUUAACACAUGCAAGUCGAGGGGCAGCAUGGACCCAGCUUUGCUGGGUUUGAUGGCGACCGGCGCACGGGUGAGUAACGCGUAUCCAACCUGCCCUUUACUCCGGGAUAGUCUCCUGAAAGGGAGUUUAAUACCGGAUGUGUUUGUCUUUCCGCAUGGGAGCGACAAAUAAAGAUUAAUUGGUAAAGGAUGGGGAUGCGUCCCAUUAGCUUGUUGGCGGGGUAACGGCCCACCAAGGCGACGAUGGGUAGGGGUUCUGAGAGGAAGGUCCCCCACAUUGGAACUGAGACACGGUCCAAACUCCUACGGGAGGCAGCAGUGAGGAAUAUUGGUCAAUGGGCGGGAGCCUGAACCAGCCAAGUAGCGUGAAGGACGACGGCCCUACGGGUUGUAAACUUCUUUUAUAAGGGAAUAAAGUUCGCCACGUGUGGUGUUUUGUAUGUACCUUAUGAAUAAGCAUCGGCUAAUUCCGUGCCAGCAGCCGCGGUAAUACGGAAGAUGCGAGCGUUAUCCGGAUUUAUUGGGUUUAAAGGGAGCGUAGGCGGGCUUUUAAGUCAGCGGUCAAAUGUCGUGGCUCAACCAUGUCAAGCCGUUGAAACUGUAAGCCUUGAGUCUGCACAGGGCACAUGGAAUUCGUGGUGUAGCGGUGAAAUGCUUAGAUAUCACGAAGAACUCCGAUCGCGAAGGCAUUGUGCCGGGGCAUAACUGACGCUGAGGCUCGAAAGUGCGGGUAUCAAACAGGAUUAGAUACCCUGGUAGUCCGCACGGUAAACGAUGAAUGCUCGCUAUGGGCGAUAUAUUGUCCGUGGCCAAGCGAAAGCGUUAAGCAUUCCACCUGGGGAGUACGCCGGCAACGGUGAAACUCAAAGGAAUUGACGGGGGCCCG